UGGACAUAUGUCGUUGUUGGUUCUCGCAUCUCGCAUUAGAUUCAACAAGUGUGUUCUGAUGAUAGAUGUCGGUGAAUAAAUUCUAUUCCACAUGAUGGACACUCAUGUGAAUGUUUUAUUGUACAAAUCCAUCCUAUAUUUAAUAACUACAUGGGGUAACUUGAGCAAGAAUUUGUGAAUAUCUAUUUGGCUGCUAGAAUAUUUUUCUUCGACGAUCAAUCUAAUGUUGAAUAAAAUGAUAUCUAUAAUUCAGUCGCAGAAGGAAUUUUGACACAUUUAAUAAUUUGGAGAUAUUUGGAACAGGAAUCACAAUAAAUAGUGUUAGCUUGAAGGCUUUUCAUCACCAUACAUAAUUAAUCAGGAUCAUAGACUUCGUACGGAUUUCGUAACUAUGGAUCAAAUGGUAUAAUUGACUUUAGUUUAUCAAAGAAGGUAGUGACAUCAUAAUAAAUAAUAUUCGCUCAAAGGUUUCAUUCAAGAGGAUUGCUUUAAUUUGUACGCAAAUCUUAACCAUGUAUCAAAUGCUGUAAUCUAUAGGCAAACGAAGAUAAUUCAAUACUUGUAUAAAUUAUUCAAAGUCAAGAUUAAUUUGUCCAACUAAAUUGCCUGACUUACCUGAACUAUGGUAAAAGUCCUUCCCAAUCUUUACCAAAUUAUUUAUGUGUAUAAUAUAUAUAACCAAAUUUGUUAAAUUUAUUUCGAAGGAAAUUGAAACAUGUCAUACAGCUUGAAUAUUAUA